UAGCAGUUAUUUUUUCAUGUGGAGCACACACUCUGAGAAAUUCCCAUGUAUAUCUACCCCCCACAAAUCAUCGCUUUAGUUCUGACACAACAUACUAUAGAAAUACACCACAUACAAUAUAUAGUGAGAGAGUGCAGUCCUGCAACUGGUUUUAGGAUAAAGAGAAGAACAGCAACACCAAAACAGCUCUUUGAAAAAUCUUGUAAAGCAAAACCAGAUUGAAAAGUAUCAGUGAUAAGACCAAUGGGACUCUAGUUAAUGCUGUCAAAACUAACAAAUUAUCAGCAAAUAACAAAGUACUGUUCCCUGCACACCAAAAAAAAAUCAAAACAACAACAGAUUUUGUUAGCUUUUCUCAUGUUAUCUAUAUAAAAUGCUACUCAGCCUCUUAAUGGAAGUCAGAUUUGACCCCAAGUUUGCUCUGUUCCAGACAGUAAUAUCUUAUGUUGGUGUGACAUGUUUGGGUAUUUUUCACUGAAUAUUCACGGUCACUUCUUUCUACCUUCACGUUAAAGGUUUGAUGGUCAAAUGCAAUGUUCUAUAAAAAGAUAUUGUAGAGUUUGUGACUGCAUUUGCACUUACUCAUCCCACAGUUGACAAUGAAAUGCAUUUGUUCAAGGUUCAACAGUCACCAGCAUUGUUCAUUUAUUGUCUGUUUUCAGACCUGGUCAUGCUGUACCACAGCAAAUGCAGGAAUGCCUGUUUUACAUUUCCUGGGAGACUGCAUAUUUUUCACACACCUAUACACACUGUCAAGCACCCAAACUCUGCUGGAAUUUUCUUUAACAUCAGUGGGUUUGUCUUUGUUUCCCUGUUUUGUAACAGCUCAGAAAAAAAUAGGAGCACAACAGUAUAAAAUGUGUAUAUGUAAGUGUGCAUAUCUUGCCAUACUUACAAAGCAAACUCCCAAAAGUAGUCAAAAGGAAAUGAAGGCACAAGGCUAUCUUUGAGUCAAUUUAUGACUGAUUUUCUUCGGUGUUAGCAUAUACUAAGCCCCAGACACUUGUGAGAGCAGCUCAGUGACGCCGUGGGGAGCAAAGCUCACCACUGACUAUCGGCAAAACUUACCUGGAGGCCGGGGCAGUGUGAAUACUGGUAAUGGGAAGCCCACAGUGAAACUGGUAAGUCUGACCAAAUGCUCAGCUGAGGAUGAAAACAGAAACUGGGUACAGUUUUCUACUGUGAAUUAGCUCAUUAGUUAAAAUGCCAUAAUGCAGUGACUCUGGCCCGAGAGGGGUUAACCCUCUUUAAGGUAUUGAUUUUGCCCAAAGCUUUCCUAACGGUUUCACAGGUAAUAUGUAAUUUUCAGUUCACUGGGCUGAACAGGAGAGGAAUAUAAAACAUCAAAGACUUUCUCCUUUUGGAUCCGCAUUUAAACUAUCCCAAGUUUCAGUACUGCUUCGCCCCCCUGUACUUGUUCCCCAGCCACUCAAGAAAAGGGGUAACAGAAGCCCUUUGGCUGGUGACUUUUCAGAGAGUUUUUGUGACCUCUUCUAGCUUCUAGUAUAUAUGUCAUCAAAAGGUAGGCUGCUGACAGAUCAUGUGUAGGGGAGGUAUUUGAGCAAUCUUCAUUUUAAAUUAAGGAUUUUUUUCUUUCUGUAAUUACCAAUUACCAUAACAAAGAAACUGAAGGGGCUGAUCUGAUUUGUAUUGAGAACAGUUUUGUUUCUACCUCUUUUCUCCUGUCUUGGGAAUGAAACGUGCAUGGUAUCAGGCAAGAAACUUUCUAAGAGUUUGUUGAAUUAUAACUAAGCAUUUGCAAGUUUAGCCAUAUAUCUAAGUAUACACAUAAAUAUAUAUGUAAAAAAAGCAUAGAAAAGUGUGAAGUUGACAAAGGAUAUUUGUCUUAGCUUAUGACUAGUGUUCCCAUUAGAAAAAUGACUUGCUGCAUCUUUUCCCUUCCUGUAUUUUGCAGUUGUGACCUCUCUCAGCCUUUAUUGUCUGCCCUUGCAAACCUGCCUCUCCGAAGCUGGAGUUCCCCAAACAAUCCUAGUUGUUAUAGGCAUUGCUCAGGGCAGAUAGGGACAGUUUCGCUCUGCAACACUCUUCAGGUCUUAUCCCAAAUUAUUACAAUGGAAGCAACAUCAAAGUCUUAAAAAUAUAGAUGAUAUAACCUGCCUCUUCCUUUUCUUUAGAAACUUCUGAUCAAAGCAGUCCCAUUUCCCACCGUGACUGUUGCUACGACCUUCCUGAAAAAGCACAUAUGCUGUGGAGCUGCAGCCUGUUGGCACGCUGCCUCUGUCCGCGCUUUUCUGGAAGUAUCGAAUCCAUUGUGGGGUGUGCAGUGGCCAGGCAAGUCAUUCGCAGAAAAAAACGACACUGCCGGGCAGCACCCACUUCUCAUGCAGCACCACUGACCUGGGCUUUUUGGGGGGGGUCAGGAUCUCUGGAGGUCCUGCUGCCUCUGGCCAGGUCAAGCAGAGUCCAGAAAUAUUGAACCCUUAAGCUGUAACAGCCCUCUAAAUCUAGACAGGUUUUUCAGGAAGAAGAAAGAAAAGGAUACGUCCACAGAAAACUAGGCAAACAAGAUGCACUUUCUUUCUCUGAGCUUCUCUUUUCUCCUCGUCAGGUCUCAAACAUUUGAGAUGCAACAUGGAUUUCUUUCCUUUUCCAUCACUGAUUUUUACCAUUCAUCUUACCUCUUAAGUUUUUUAGGCCUAAGAAUUAGUUUCCUGUUUCCUAUGUAACAUUCAAUGCAGUUGCAAAGUGUUCAAUUAGGUUUUUGCCCUUAUUUUCUCCCACGCCUCACCAGCUCGCUGUGUUUGUUCCUGGCCUUUUCGGCUUCAGACUGACACCCCUCUCUUUCCCGUCAUUCCUUAUAUUGGCAAAGCCCUAUCAAUUAACUCCCACCAUGCAAUGUACCUUUUGCCUACAAUUCUUGUAAAGCCAGUUGCUUUAAGAUGUAUUCUGGUGACAGAAAUGGUUAGAGAAACUGUGCCUCUUCGUGCUCCUCAGCAUUGUACCUCCUGGGCCUCCUUCAAUCAAAAUGUCUUGCAGGAAGAACUUCUGUUCACCAUUCACAUAGAGAUGUGAUUUUGUCACUAAAACUCCGAGCUACAUCCCCUUAAAGAAGUGCAAACAAUUGUUAUAUGGGCAGCAAGAGCACCGUGAACACUUUCCCUAAAGAAGUACAACAGAGAGUACAAGAUGGGUAAGUAGUUCUGCAUCUGCAUUAUGGGGAAGGUGUCCCUCAAGGGAUGAGCAAUAAACACCUAUGGCUUUGUAAUAAACUCUGGCUG
ensembl:lncRNA